UUCCGGUUGAUCCUGCCGGAGGUUACUGCUAUCGGAGUUCGAUUAAGCCAUGCGAGUCUAAAGGUUUCUUCGGAAACCUUGGCGGACUGCUCAGUAACACGUGGAUAACCUACCCUUGGGACUGGAAUAACCCCGGGAAACUGGGGAUAAUACCGGAUAGAUCAGGGAUGCUGGAAUGCACCUUGACCCAAAGCUCCGGCGCCCAAGGAUGGGUCUGCGGCCUAUCAGGUAGUAGUGGGUGUAACGUACCUACUAGCCAACGACGCGGUACGGGUUGUGAGAGCAAGAGCCCGGAGAUGGAUUCUGAGACACGAAUCCAGGCCCUACGGGGUGCAGCAGGCGCGAAACCUUUACAAUGUGCGAAAGCAUGAUAAGGGAACUCCGAGUGCCAGCAUCUAAUGUUGGCUGUCCUUGUGCCUAAAACGCACAAGAUAGCAAGGGCCGGGUAAGACCGGUGCCAGCCGCCGCGGUAACACCGGCGGCCCGAGUGGUAGCCGCUAUUAUUGGGUCUAAAGGGUCCCGUAGCCGGCCUGAUAAGUCCUUUGGGAAAUCUGACAGCUUAACUGUCAGGCUUCUAAGGGAUACUGUCAGGCUUGGGACCGGAAGAGGUAAGGGGUACUCCAGGGGUAGGAGUGAAAUCUUGUAAUCCCUGGGGGACCAUCUGUGGCGAAGGCGCCUUACCAGAACGGGUCCGACGGUGAGGGACGAAAGCUAGGGGAGCAAACCGGAUUAGAUACCCGGGUAGUCCUAGCUGUAAACGAUGCUCGCUAGGUGUCAGACACGGUGCGACCGUGUUUGGUGCCGCAGGGAAGCCGUUAAGCGAGCCACCUGGGAAGUACGGUCGCAAGGCUGAAACUUAAAGGAAUUGGCGGGGCAGCACUACAACGGGUGGAGCCUGCGGUUUAAUUGGAUUCAACGCCGGUA
rnacentral:rRNA from 1 species